rnacentral:rRNA from 1 species
CCUCGGGCUGCACCAGUGAGGAAUAUUGCACAAUGGGGGGAACCCUGAUGCAGCAACGCCGCGUGGAGGAUGACGCAUUUCGGUGUGUAAACUCCUUUUAUAUGUCAAGAAAAUGACGGUAGCAUAUGAAUAAGCACCGGCUAACUCCGUGCCAGCAGCCGCGGUAAUACGGAGGGUGCAAGCGUUACUCGGGAUCACUGGGCGUAAAGGACGCGUAGGCGGGUUGGAAAGUCAGGUGUGAAAUCCUACAGCUUAACUGUAGAACUGCACUUGAAACUUCUAAUCUAGAGUAUGGGAGGGGGAGAUGGAAUUAGUGGUGUAGGGGUAAAAUCCGUAGAUAUCACUAGGAAUACCUAAAGCGAAGGCGAUCUCCUGGAACAUUACUGACGCUAAGGCGUGAAAGCGUGGGGAGCAAACAGGAUUAGAUACCCCCGUAGUC